rnacentral:lncRNA from 1 species
GGAGGAUGAGCGUGGAAAAUCUAUAACCUCAAAUGGAAGGUACUGAUUAUUUUCUGGAAUCUUCAUUCAUGAUGAUAAAAUUUCUCUCUUUAUCUUCUUUUACCCAUGGCUUUCCAGUCUCUCACUUGCAUGUGGGACAUCCCUGCUUCAACCUACACCUACCCUGCAUGUUAUGUACUUGUGACUUGUGAGAGUACAAAGAGCAUGUUCUGCAUUUUGGAUUAUGAUGAUAAAAUUUCUCUUUUUAUCUUCUUUUACUCAUGGCUUACCAGUCUCCACGUGCAUGUGGGCAUACCUGCUUCAACCUACACCUACCCUGCAUGUUAUGUACUUGUGAGAGUACAGAGAGCAUGUUUCUGCAUUUUGGAUUAUCUAACUAGUCUCUUCAG